rnacentral:rRNA from 1 species
UACGAAGGGUGCUAGCGUUGCUCGGAAUUACUGGGCGUAAAGGGCGCGUAGGCGGCCUUGUCAGUCGGGCGUGAAAUCCCCGGGCUCAACCUGGGAAUUGCGUUCGAUACGGCUGGGCUUUAGGCCGAGAGAUGGUGGUGGAAUUCCCAGUGUAGAGGUGAAAUUCGUAGAUAUUGGGAAGAACACCGGUGGCGAAGGCGGCCACCUGGCUCGGUACUGACGCUGAGGCGCGACAGCGUGGGGAGCAAACAGG